ACGGGUGAGUAAUACAUCGGAAUGUACCUUGUAGUGGGGGAUAGCUCGGCGAAAGCCGGAUUAAUACCGCAUACGCUCUGAGGAGGAAAGCGGGGGACCUUCGGGCCUCGCGCUACAAGAGCAGCCGAUGUCAGAUUAGCUAGUUGGUGGGGUAAAAGCUCACCAAGGCGACGAUCUGUAGCUGGUCUGAGAGGACGACCAGCCACACUGGGACUGAGACACGGCCCAGACUCCUACGGGAGGCAGCAGUGGGGAAUUUUGGACAAUGGGCGAAAGCCUGAUCCAGCAAUGCCGCGUGUGUGAAGAAGGCCUUCGGGUUGUAAAGCACUUUUGUCCGGAAAGAAAUCCUCUGGGUUAAUACCUCGGGGGGAUGACGGUACCGGAAGAAUAAGCACCGGCUAACUACGUGCCAGCAGCCGCGGUAAUACGUAGGGUGCAAGCGUUAAUCGGAAUUACUGGGCGUAAAGCGUGCGCAGGCGGUUUUGUAAGACGGAUGUGAAAUCCCCGGGCUUAACCUGGGAACUGCAUUCGUGACUGCAAGGCUAGAGUAUGGCAGAGGGGGGUAGAAUUCCACGUGUAGC
rnacentral:rRNA from 1 species